CCUACGGGUGGCAGCAGUGGGGAAUAUUGCACAAUGGGGGCAACCCUGAAGCAGCGACGCCGCGUGAAUGAAGAAGGCUUUCGGAAUGUAAAGCUCUUUUUGCAGGGAAGAAAAUGACGGUACCUGUCUAAGAAGCACCGGCUAACUCCGUGCCAGCAGCCGCGGUAAUACGGAGGGUGCAAGCGUUAUCCGGAUUUACUGGGGGUAAAGGGCGCGUAGGCGGGAGCGCAAGUCAGGAGUGAAAUCCCAUGGCUUAACCAUGGAACUGCAUUUGAAACUGUGCAGCUGGAGUGUAGGAGAGGUAGGCGGAAUGCCUGGUGUAGCGGUGAAAUGCGUAGAGAUUAGGAGGAACACCAGUGGCGAAGGCGGCUUACUAGACUGUAACUGACGUUGAGGCGCGAAAGCGUGGGGAGCAAACAGGAUUAGAUACCCCAGUAGUC
rnacentral:rRNA from 1 species